rnacentral:rRNA from 1 species
UGAGAUCUGCAGCCGAAGCGAAAGCGAGUCUUAACAGGGCGAUUAGUCGGAAGGAGUAGACGCGAAACCAAGUGAUCUACCCUUGGUCAGGUUGAAGGUUAGGUAACACUAACUGGAGGACCGAACCGAUAAGCGUUGAAAAGCUUCCGGAUGAACUGAGGGUGGGGGUGAAAGGCUAAUCAAACUUGGAGAUAGCUCGUACUCCCCGAAAUGCAUUUAGGUGCAGCCUUGGGAAUUACUACUGUGAGGUAGAGCGACUGAUAAGAUGCGAGGGCUUCACCGCCUAUCAAGUCUUGAUAAACUCCGAAUGCGCAGUAGUUCGAUCCCAGGAGUGAGGGCAUGGGUGCUAAGGUCCAUGUCCUAAAGGAGAAGAAUCCAGACCAUCAGCUAAGGUCCCGAAAUAAUUGCUAAGUUGAACUAACGAAGUCAGAUUGCUAAGACAGCUAGGAUGUUGGCUUGGAAGCAGCCAUUCAUUUAAAGAGUGCGUAACAGCUCACUAGUCGAGGAGUUUGGCGUGGAUAAUAAUCGGGCAUUAAGCAAUUUACCGAAGCUAUGGGAUCAGUAAUGAUCGGUAGGGGAGCAUUCCACUCUGCGUCGAAGGUGAAGCGUGAGCUUUGCUGGAGCGUGUGGAAAAGCAAAUGUAGGUAUAAGUAACGAUAAAGGGGGUGAGAAACCCCCUCGCCGAAAGACUAAGGUUUCCUGAUCAACGCUAAUCGGAUCAGGGUUAGUCGGGUCCUAAGGCUCAGCCGAACGGUGAGGCCGAUGGCAGAACAGGUUAAUAUUCCUGUACUACCUUAAGGAGUGACGUGGAGACGGAGGAGUGACAGCGCCGCGGACUGACGGAAUAGUCCGUUGAAGGGUGUAGAUGUUGAUUAUCCCAGGCAAAUCCAGGAUAAGAGUCGAACCUGAUAGUAUACCAAAUUCUUCGGAAUAAGGUAAUAGUGCGUGUAAGCAUACUCCCAAGAAAAUCCGCUAAACUUAAUCUUUAAGGUACCCGUACCGCAAACGGACACACGUAGUCGGGUUGAAUAUACUAAGGCGCUUGAGUGAUUCACGGUUAAGGAACUAGGCAAAUUGACCCUGUAACUUCGGGAUAAAGGGUCCCAACGAGAGUUGGGCGCAGAGAAUAGGUCCAGGCAACUGUUUAACAAAAACACAGGGCUGUGCUAAAUUGAAAGAUUACGUAUACAGCCUGACACCUGCCCGGUGCUGGAAGGUUAAGAGGAGAUGUCAUCGCAAGAGAAGCAUUGAAUUGAAGCCCCAGUAAACGGCGGCCGUAACUAUAACGGUCCUAAGGUAGCGAAAUUCCUUGUCGGGUAAGUUCCGACCUGCACGAAUGGUGUAAUGAUCUGGACACUGUCUCAACCGUGAGCUCAGUGAAAUUGUAGUAUCGGUGAAGAUGCCGAUUACCCGCGAUGGGACGAAAAGACCCCGUGAACCUUUACUAUAGCUUAACAUUGAAUUUGGGUAAUUGAUGUGUAGGAUAGGCCGGAGACUUUGAAGCAGGUACGCCAGUAUUUGUGGAGUCGCUGUUGAAAUACGGCCCUUUGAUUAUUUGAGUUCUAACUCGUAGAUGCGAGGACACUGUUUGGUGGGUAGUUUGACUGGGGUGGUCGCCUCCAAAAGUGUAACGGAGGCUUCUAAAGGUGCCCUCAGGACGAUUGGUAACCGUCCGUAGAGUGUAAUGGCAUAAGGGCGCUUGACUGGGAGACAGACAAGUCGAUCAGGUAGGAAACUAGAGCAUAGUGAUCCGGUGUUUCCGUAUGGAAGGGACAUCGCUCAAAGGAUAAAAGGUACUCCGGGGAUAACAGGCUGAUCCCUCCCAAGAGCUCAUAUCGACGGAGGGGUUUGGCACCUCGAUGUCGGCUCGUCACAUCCUGGGGCUGGAGAAGGUCCCAAGGGUUGGGCUGUUCGCCCAUUAAAGUGGCACGCGAGCUGGGUUCAGAACGUCGUGAGACAGUUCGGUCUCUAUCUAUCGUGGGCGUAUGAAAUUUGCGUGGCUCUGACACUAGUACGAGAGGACCGUGUUGGACUGACCGCUGGUUUACCAGUUGUGCCGCCAGGUGCAUUGCUGGGUAUCUAAGUCGGGA